UACGAAGGGUGCAAGCGUUACUCGGAAUUACUGGGCGUAAAGCGUGCGUAGGUGGUUUGUUAAGUCUGCUGUGAAAGCCCCGGGCUCAACCUGGGAAUGGCAGUGGAUACUGGCAAGCUAGAGUGCGGUAGAGGGGUGUGGAAUUCCCGGUGUAGCGGUGAAAUGCGUAGAGAUCGGGAGGAACACCAGUGGCGAAGGCGGCACCCUGGACCAGCACUGACACUGAGGCACGAAAGCGUGGGGAGCAAACGGG
rnacentral:rRNA from 1 species